GGACCCGUGGCUCAGCCAGGAUAGAGUGCGGGCCUGCGGAGCCCGUGGUCCCGGGUUCGAAUCCCGGCGGGUCCG
rnacentral:tRNA from 1 species